rnacentral:misc_RNA from 1 species
AUCAUUUCAUUGAUGAAAAUCUUAGAAAAGAGUUGCUUUAACUGCACGACAGCUGCAGUAACCCGUAGGAUUCCUCAAUGAAGGGCAUGUAUUGAUCAUCCGGUGCCGACCAAUAACUUCCCAGAUUUGAUUCAUUGCCUUCUUUUACAGAGCGUGCCAAACCUGUUGUCUCUUAUACUCAGCACGACCGCCGACCACUCUCAGGUCAGAACAGGCAGCGGGCCCCCCACACAGGAAGCGACCACAGGGCCGCACCCCCUGAUACAGUCUGAAGAAAACUUGCUGUCAGUUGCUUAUGGAAUCACUACAGAAAUUUGAAUAAUUUUAUACGGACUGCGGAACCAUUAUUUUAUUCUUCUUCUUCUAAUGGAAAGUGAUUUAAAUAAUUAACAGUUGGACUAUAAAAAAUAGCUGCAGAAAUUCCUUGGUUGUGAAAUGUGACGACUGUACUAUUGUUUUAAUGGCGCGCCUCUCCGAUCCUGGACGAGUUUUACAUAAAGAUGGCUAAGACAGAUUUUCUAGUUGUUGAAUUCAAGUGGAUUAUAUUAUUGUUCCUGUUUGUUGAAGGUAGGUUUAUUUUCCGUAAAUUAACCUGUCUUUAGACGAUUUUAUGUUCUUGUACAUAUAAACAAAUAUAUUCAUGAUCUUAGAAAUGCCAUCUUCAAAGGAGUCUUUCCAUCGGUAAAACAAUUUUUUUUACAACUCUUUCGGUUCCAAGAUGGUUCAUUUUUCAAUGAAAUAUACACAGACACAUUUUUUCGUGAAUUCAUUUCUAAAAAGCUUUUUAAUCAUAUGUAUGUAUAAACGUAUUUAUCUUUUUUGUUUAUGAAGAAAAGACCUGAACUAAU